rnacentral:rRNA from 1 species
UACGGGGGGGGCAAGCGUUGUUCGGAAUUACUGGGCGUAAAGGGCGCGUAGGCGGCUUUUCAAGUCGGGCGUGAAAUCUCCAGGCUUAACCUGGAAGGGUCGUUCGAUACUGUUAAGCUAGAGUGUGGAAGAGGCUACUGGAAUUCCGUGUGUAGCGGUGAAAUGCGUAGAUAUCGAGAGGAACACCUGCGGCGAAGGCGGGUUGCUGGGCUGACACUGACGCUGACAGUGCGAAAGCUAGGGGAGCGAACGGG